UACGAAGGGGGCUAGCGUUGCUCGGAAUUACUGGGCGUAAAGCGUGCGCAGGCGGCUUCUCAAGUCAGGGGUGAAAGCCCAGAGCUCAACUCUGGAAUUGCCUUUGAGACUGAGUGGCUUGAGUACGGGAGAGGUGAGUGGAAUUCCCAGUGUAGAGGUGAAAUUCGUAGAUAUUGGGAAGAACACCGGUGGCGAAGGCGGCUCACUGGCCCGUAACUGACGCUGAUGCACGAAAGCGUGGGGAGCAAACAGG
rnacentral:rRNA from 1 species